ACCUCAUGGUUGGGACAUUACAUGAGUUUCCCAUUAAAUCUCUCCCAUACCUCAUAUAGAGGUUCUCUAUUCAAUUAAUGAAAAUUAGUGAUUUUGUCAUGCAAUAU